GACGAAGGAUGCAAGCGUUAUCCGGAUUCAUUGGGUUUAAAGGGAGCGUAGGCGGACUUAUAAGUCAGUGGUGAAAUCUCCGAGCUUAACUCGGAAACUGCCAUUGAUACUGUAAGUCUAGAGUACAGUUGCCGUUGGCGGAAUAUGACAUGCAGUGGUGAAAUACUUAGAUAUGUCAUAGAACACCGAUUGCGAAGGCAGCUAACGAAGCUGUAACUGACGCUGAGGCUCGAAAGUGCGGGGAUCAAACAGG
rnacentral:rRNA from 1 species